rnacentral:rRNA from 1 species
UACGGGGGGGGCAAGCGUUGUUCGGAAUUACUGGGCGUAAAGGGCGCGUAGGCGGCCUGCUAAGUCAGACGUGAAAUCCCCAGGCUCAACCUGGGAACUGCGUCUGAUACUGGAUGGCUUGAAUCCGGGAGAGGGAUGCAGAAUUCCAGGUGUAGCGGUGAAAUGCGUAGAUAUCUGGAGGAAUACCGGUGGCGAAGGCGGCAUCCUGGACCGGCAUUGACGCUGAGGAGCGAAAGCCAGGGGAGCAAACGGG